UGGGUUAUAUAGUUGGGUGCGCUCUCUUUGCCUGCAGGUUGAUAAUCAAGACAACAAGAUGCCGCGACCUGAAGAUAUAGCCUGGAAAUUCGUGCUUAGACUGGAGGGCAAGAGAUGGCGUUGUCCUUACUGCCAUAAAGAAUCCUCUGGAUCAGUCACAAGAGUGAAAAGUCACUUUCUUAAACAAGCAAAAGAAGGGAUUGCCUAUUGCACAAAAGUGCCAGAGCACAUACGAACACUAAUGGAAUUGUUACUCAAUCAUGAGGUGACUUUAGUACUUGUAGUAGCUACAUUAUCUGCUUGAGAAUAGUGCUAUGCGCACUAAGAAGAUGUAUAAAAAAUAGGGAUAAUAUAUGAUGGGGUGCGCUCUAUUUGCUUGCAGGUUCGUAACAAAGAGGAUAUAGCUUGGAAAUUCGUCAAUAGAUUGGAGGACAGCAAAUGGCGAUGUCAUUACUGCAGUGUAGAAUUCUCUGGAGACCUGACAGGACUGAAAGGUCACUUGCUUGGAGUCCCAAAUGAAGGGACUUCCAUUUGCACACAAGUGCUGGACCACGCAAGAGCACUAAUGCUGUUGUUACUCGAUGAGGUGGCUGAAGAAGAGAGCAGAGAGGUGGCUGAAGAACAGAGCAGAGAAGCCCACGGUCAAUCCUCCAUCGAACCAAAUUCCCGUGACAUGCCGAGUCAAGCUGAGGUGGCUGAAGAAGAGAUCAGAGAAGCCAACCGUCAAUUUUCCACGGAACCACAGUCGCCUGACAUGCUGUCUCCAGCUGUUCCUCGCUCAUCACAAAGCUUGGAAGAUAUAGAAAACUUAUUCACAACAACAGAGGGGGCGACCGACUUGGGAAACUUAGACUAUAACCUAGAGCGUCAAUUUUAUGAGACUUUGGCAAUGCCGCCACCGGCACAAAAUAUCCAUGGUAUGUUCAUGUGAAGUUUCCAUCGAUGCAUCUAGGCAUGGAGAAAAUAUAUCUAUUGUAUUUUUCAAUGCAAACGCGUCGGGUUUUUUUAACCAAAGUGGCGACUUUUAAAAAUCUUCUAUAAAAAUGAUCUUCCUACGGGACUUUCCAAAUGUGAAGAAAGUCAAUCACCUAUUCCUUAACAACAGUACGCAUUGAAUGUGUUGCAUGUGCCGAUCGGACCCACGGGAUGCAAUAAACUACAGUACGCAUUUUCUCGUGUUCCAAUCAGCCAUAUCCUAAUUUUGAUAAACAACACACAGGUGAAAGCUUGUCACGUUCAGCGAUGGCUUUAGCAGAAGGAGAAUCGUUUCUUCUUGAUUCGCCAUGUCAGCCACAAUGUUCCAAUCGAUCUCCUUAUCCCGAGGAAAUGCAAAUGAAUGACCACCGAACUCCAGCCGGGGCAUUAUCAUUCCAGUAUGUUCCAUUACCUGCUGUAGGUAAUUCAAAUUGCUUCCAGGACUGCAAUGACUCUCAAUUGCAAACUCCAGUGGACGUAAAUCCCUCAAUUACAUCACAGCGUACAAAUCACAUUACUGGGGCACAAAUCAAUGAUUCGAAAGUUCCAGAGGCGGCAACAAAUACAAUGGGCCCAUCAUCAUCACAAGGUUUGUAUGGAUUAAUCUACAUUGCUACUAUGGUUAUGUUAGAUCCUUGAAUAUCUCCAUAUUAUUUUAUCGAAAUCUAACAUAUGAUUUUUUAAACAAGAUAGGAACAUGGAUUAUCCAAUCAAGAACAUGCUGAGCAUCACUGCAUAUUCUAUAUGUCCGAUAUCACUUUUUAUCACAUUAUUACUUUCUUCAAAAUAUUUAACUCUAAUGCGGUCGUUACUCGAUGAGGUGGCUGAAGAAGAGAGCAGAGAGGUGGCUGAAGGACAGAGCAGAGAAGCCAACCGUCAAUCCUCCACAGAACCACAAUCACGUGACAUGCCCACUCAUGCUGAGGUGGAGGCUGAAGAAGAGAGCAGGGAAGCCAACGGUCAAUUUUCCACGGGGCCUUUAUUCUCACCAGGAUUCCUCCUCGAAGAUAUGGAACAGUUAAACUUCAGCCAACAGGAUGUCAUUUGGUUAAACUCUGCCCAACAAUCACAAACAGAGCGUCAGUUUCAUCAGAGUUCAACAAUGCCGUCACAGGUGCAAAAUAGCCAUGGUAUGUCCAUGUAAAGUUUUUAUACAUUCAUCCAGGCGUGGAGAAAAGAAAAAUCAUUAUAUUUUUCGUAUUAGUAACUCUCUCUAUAAUAACUCAAUUUCAUCCGCUUCCAUAUCGUAUCGAUUCCAAAUUACAGUUGUAUCAUCGCAUAUUCUAUAUGUCCGAUAUCAUUAUCUUUUUACCGCACCGUUUAUUUCAUCAAAAUAUUUACUUAUGAGCAUAUGUUGACUUUCGCUAUAAAUAUAUUUUUUUUAAAUCGAGUUCUAGACGUUCGUUUUACCUGUACCCAUGGCUUGAUUUAAAAGUCCCAUUGUUGAUUUAUUUUACGCUUGCCUUUUUUAGUGCAACCAGUUUUGGUGGCCCCUCAACAUCAAAAUGCUCCACAUCAAUCCGAGACAAGGAAUGUGCUGCAGAAUCCAACUGCACAAUCAUCAACAGCUCUAAGGGAUAUGGAUUUACGUAUCCAAUCUUCAUCGCAAGCUUCAAAUGCUGCUCCACAGUGGCCGACAGACGUUUCAAACUUCAACCAACAGGAUAUUAAUGAGCUAAACUCUGGUCAACAAUCACAAGCAGAGCGUCAAUUUCCUCAGAGUUCAACAAUGCCGUCACUGGCACAAAAUAGCCAUGGUAUGUUCAUGUGAAGUAUCUAUACAUUCAUCUAGGCGGGGAGAAAAACAUCUAUUAUAUUUUUCAACGCAAACACGUGGGAUUUUUUAACGGAAGUGGUGACUUUUAAAUAUCUCCGAUAAACAUGCUUUUUCCACACAACUUUUCAAAUAUGAAGAGAGUCAAUAACCUAUUCCUUAAUAACAGUACAUCCAAUGUGUUGCACGUGGCCACUAGACCCACUGGAUCCAGUAAACUAACUACAAUAAGUAUUCUCUCAUGUUCCAAUCAAUCAUAUCCUAAUUUUGAUGAACAACACACAGGCGAAAGUUCCACGAUGGCUUCAACGGAAGAAGUGCCGAAUUCUCAUAAUUUGCUAUGUCAACCACAUUGUUACAUUCAAUCUCAAAUACAAAUGAAUGACCAGCAUACAAGUGACUCUCACAUUAUUGAGCCAACAACGGUUGAUUCGCAAGUUCCAGAGGCGGCACCAAAUGCAACGGGCCCAUCCUCAUCACAAGGUGCGUUUGGAUUAAUCUUCAUUGUUACUAUAUGGUUCCACUAGAUUCUUAAAAAUCCCCAAAUUAUUUUAUCAAAAUCUAACAGAUGUUUUUUUAUAAAUUAGAUAUGAACAGGGGUUCUCCAGUCAUGGACGUACGGAGCAACUAUGCCAACGAUGAAGAGAUAAGAAACCUGAAAAGAAAAGUGGAAGAACUCGAUGACAAAGACGCUGUCAUAAAGGAGCAGAUGGAGAUAGAGUCUGCUGCUUCCUCACUUCGGAAGAAGCCGAGGAUAUUGGUUGAUAGAUGGCUAAAAGAGACAGAAAGAGCAAGAAAUAAUUUCCAAAUAAUUGGCCAAGCCAAUGCGGAAACUUUGCCACCAAAGGAACAGGUGGAGAAAUUGACGAGAGAAGUGGAAGAACUCAUAGGAAAAACGCUUCCACAACCACUGCUCAUAGAAGAGAGAGAUGCCAAAGGAGUCAAACUUUUGGAACGAAAGUUAACAGGUGAAGGGAUUCAUAGGAACAUUGAGUUGAUUUGGGACCGUCUGAAGGAGAAUCAUGCAUGCAAAUUGGGUAUUUAUGGAAUGGGUGGUGUUGGGAAGACAACUAUUAUGAUGCACAUACAUAAUAGACUUCUCGAAGAUGCAACCUUCGAUGGUGUGGUUUUUAUCACUGUGUCUCAAGAUUUCAGCAUUAAGAAGUUGCAGAGUGAUAUUUGGAAGGCAUUAAAAUGUGGCGUUAUGGAGGAUGAGGAUGAGAAGAAACAAGCAGCGAUAUUGUCGGAGCAUUUAGAAAGAAAGAAGAAUUGUGUAUUGAUUCUUGAUGAUGUGUGGGAACGUCUUGAUCUUGAAGAGGUGGGAAUCCCUGUUAGAGCUGAUGGAUGUAAGUUGAUCUUAACCAGUCGAUCCUAUUAUGUGUGCUGCCAGAUGCAAUGUCAAGAGAAGAUAAAAAUUAAACCUCUAUCUCAAAUAGAAGCCGAGAGUCUAUUUUUGGAGGAGCUUGGAUCCGAAGUUCCACUUAAUUCGGAAACUGAAGCAAUUGUGAAGUCCAUUGUUGAAGAAUGUGCUGGAUUGCCAAUUGGAGUCAUCACGAUGGCAAGAAGCAUGCGAGGAGUGACUGAUGUGUUUGAAUGGAGGGAUUCCUUGGUUAAAUUGGAAGAAUCAAGUAAGGGGCAAACAGAUAUGGAGAAGAAGGUCUUAAUGAAUCUAAAAUUUAGUUAUGAUCGCCUUGGUAAUCCUGAUGUGCAACAAUGCUUCUUAUCUUGUGCACUUUAUCCAGAAGAUGAAUUGAUUGAUAAGUUCGAGUUGGUAGAAUUCUUUAUUGACCAAGGAUUGAUUGGUGGAUUGAAUGCGUGGACAGAACAAUAUGAUAGAGGCCUCACCAUAUUGAACAAACUACGAAAUGUUUGCCUAUUGGAAGAUCAUGGGAGCGAGACGAAGAUGCACGAUUUGAUUAGAGACAUGGCAUUGCACAUCAUGAGUGCAACUUCCAUUGUAAAGGCAAGAAAGUGGUUGGAAAGUAUUCCAUCUGAGGAAUAUUGGACAGAUGCUUUGGAGAAAGUUUCUCUGAUGGGAAGCAAAAUAAGUGAAAUGUCACCAAAUUGUCCUAAACUAUCAACUUUACUACUGAAUGGAAGCUUGUUAGAGGAUGCGGUCCUCCCUGGUUCUUUCUUCAAACAGUUAUGUGGGCUAAAGGUCCUAAACCUGAGUGACUGUGAACUAACGGAACUUCCAAAUUCCAUCUCAGAUUUGGUAAACUUGAGGGCACUAUUGCUUAGAAGGUGUCGGGAAUUGUGCCAUAUUCCUUAUUUAGGCAAGCUCACAUCUUUAAGGAAGCUGGACGUUAGUGACUGUUUUGAGCUUGAAGAAGUGCCCGAGGGUCUGGAAAUGUUGGUGAACUUGAGAUACCUUGACCUAUGUUUUUCAUUGACCGUUGAAUUACCUAAAAUAAUACUGGGGGGUUUGCUAAACUUGCAGCAUCUUAAAGUUUAUUUUCUAGAUGGACAAGACAUGACAAAAUUGAGGGCACUGGAGACACUCAAAUGCUUUUUUGAAGAUGCGAAUGAUUUCAAUAAGUGUGUGAGGGUUAUUGAACAGAGUAACCUUCUCUGCUAUUAUUAUCUUUGUUAUUAUAUCGACAAAAAAUAUCAUGAUGAGGAAGAAUGUGAUAUUACUCAGGACAGGGAAGUCAAAAUUUGGGGGUGGGAUCAUGCUAUUGUGAGUGUGGGAGGGGAAUGCACCGGCAUUUUUAUUUUGAUUCCCCAAGACGUGCAGAAAAUGACGAUUUGUUGGAACGGUAUAACAAAUUUGUCUAGCAUAGGUCCGCUUGAAUACCUUGAGGAGCUAGAUAUAGAAGACUUAAACAACUUAGGGGUGCUCUGUGGAGGAGAAGACAAAGAAGUAAUCGACAUCUUUGCCCCAGCCCUUGCGCCUCUCCUCUUCUCGAGCCUUAGGGUUUUGAAAAUAUGGAGUUGUCCGGAACUGAAGUAUGUCUUUGGGCAUGGGUCUAAAUCCAACCUUCCACAUCUACGAGAGAUUGAAAUAGGGGGAUGUGAGGAGACGGUGGGGAUAAUAGCAGCAGUUACAUCCCCACCACCACAUCCGCUCCCAUUUUUCCCUAGUCUGGAACAGAUUAGCAUUACAGGCUGUUACGAGAUGAAGAGAGCGGUGGAAUCCGAGUGGAUGCCCCACUUCCCUAAUCUAAGAAGAAUCAAAGUAUCCGGAUGUGAGAUGGAGGAGAUAAUCGGAGGUCCUCCCCCAUACUCGCCGGAUGAACAGAUUUCUCUCGAAUCUCUUGAGGUAAGCUAUUGCGAUAAAAUGAGAAAGCUGCUUACGUAUGAGUGGCUGUUCCAUCUUCGAAAUCUUCAAAGUAUCUCUGUCACUUACUGCAAAGAAAUGGUGGAGUUGAUAAGCGGAGCGGGACAAGGCCAAGAAGGAAGCAUAACGACUUCUGUAAACAACACUCCUUCCUCCUUCCAGCCUUCUUCAAUUUCUCUCCCAAAGCUAGAGUGUUUGGAGCUACGCUAUCUACACCAGCUGAAGAGCAUAUGCGAAGUCCCAAUAAGCUGCGAUUUCAUGAAAAGAUUGGACGUGUGCAGAUGCCCAGAACUGAAGAGGAUUCCUUUGCAACUGCGAUUGUGUGAAAUUGAGGAGCUUCCGUAUAUUUUGGUGGAAGAUGAGGAAAAGUGGAAGACGUUGGUGUGGGAUCAUCCCAAUGCUCAGGCUAUUCUUCGACCUUAUCUCCGAAAAGGGCCACGCUGGCCUCCAAAUGCUAUAGGUUAAUGAGUUUAAUUGAUAUACGAUUGCUUCACUUCUUAAAAGUCCUUUCAAAGAUAUAGCUUUUCUGUCUAUAUAGUCAUGCAGCUCUAAUAGUGGCCUUCUGUAGUACUGAACACCAAGUGAAAGCAUCUCCUGCGACUCCACUCUUGAAGAAAGAACCCUGCUGCUCGACCAUGCUUUCCUGCAAACUUGACUCAGGUUGCCAUAUGAAUUGACUUUUUUUGUGUGGCCCUGCUUUGUCUAUUUUGAAUGCGAUCGCAUGUUUCAUUGACUACUGGAAAUGAGUCUAUCUGGUCGAUAUUUCAGGUUAGUCAAAAAGCAAUGGAUCUGAAGAUUUGGGAAGCCAAGGGAAUAACAAAGUCUGUUUCCUAUCUUGUCUUAUAACUGAAAGGACAAUUUAUUAUCAUGGAUUGAAUUUCUUGGGAUAUUAGCCUUCUAAGAAAAGAGAGAAUUUUGUGCAGCACUACCUUUAAUCUGUUUUUGUUUAAAAAGGAUUUCAAAUAUGAUAUUGCUUUAACUUGUCGAUCGAAAAUAUUGUGUCAAAUACGCUGCUUUGCUCUGUUGGAUCAGAGCAACAUGACCCCAAUUAAACUUGUUUCGACGUUAAACUAUCGGGUAUAGAAUACUUGAUCUGCUUAGUAGUUGUAUCAUAUCUGGAAACGUAGGCCGGGAAGUUUUCNNNNNNNNNNNNNNNNNNNNNNNNNNNNNNNNNNNNNNNNNNNNNNNNNNNNNNNNNNNNNNNNNNNNNNNNNNNNNNNNNNNNNNNNNNNNNNNNNNNNUACUUUGAAUUAGAAAUGUAAAAAGACGAAGAAGAAAGAAUUGCACAGCUAUCACCCUCUUUAAAUGCCUCGAAGUUGUGGAUAGAUGGAGAACCCUACAGCUUCAGCUCAAGUAACCAAAAAUCAGAGCAGUAACCACUAGCAAGUCAAUGGAAAAAAGGCCAGCUUAUAGGAUGUGGCACUUUUGAAAGUGUUUACAUUGCAAGCAACCAGUAAGUUAGCUCUGGGAAUCUUAGACAUGUUCCAUUUUUUUAGAUAUCCAGUCAGCUAAACUUUGACAUAUUAAGUGACAGAAAAACCAGAUCUCUAUGUGCAGAGAAGGAGUUUGAGCUAUUGCGUAAUGAUCCAAAUUUAGCUGAGUGCAUCGAGCAGUUAAAGCAGGUAAUGUUUUUGUUAUGCUCUGGGAUCCAAUCUAUCCUCUCAUCCGAUCUAAAUAUGCUGGGAGGAAACUUUCUUUCAUCAUUUCCAAGUAAUUGAUUGCUUUGUUACUACAGGAAAUUCAGGUACUUAGCCAGCAUAGACAUCCGAACAUUCUGCAGUAUUAUGUAAGGGAAAUUGUGAGUCACAUUUCCACAGCAUCUAUGCGUCCCAACUCAAUGGGCGUUCAUUAUUUGACUAACCAAAAUUUCAACAUAUUCAUACAUACUCAGGUUGAGGAUUGGCGUUACAUAUAUCUAGAAUAUGCACAUCACGAUUCAAUAGACAAGUAUAUCCAGGAGCGUCUUGGGACCCUAACAGAAUCGGUUGUCAGCACUUUACCCGCUAUAUUGUGGCUGGAUUGGCUUCCCUGCAUGUUUUUUUUGGUAAAGAGGCUUCCCUGCAUGUUAACAACUCCAUACAUGGGUAAUUUUAAACCAUUGAUCAAGCAUCAUGAGAUGACUUGCAUAUUGGAUUAGGAUGAUUGGACCUUCUUCUUUGUGCCCCCAGACCUGUUAAAACUAUUUGGCUUGUGCAGGGAUUUAAAGGGAGCUAAUUUAUUUGUGGAUGCAUCUGGGAUAUUCAAACUUGCUGACUUUGGGAUUGCUAAACAUGUGAGUUUUUACCUCUUCACCGCAAGACUACUCAGUGCAUGUAGAAAUUCCUUGCUGAUCUGUGGUACAUUCGAAUGUGAAGUCAGGGACCCAGGGUGACUGCAUACUUCUCGUUAUUGGUUUGUGGCAUUUCAUAUGUGCAUAAAUCUAUCAUAGAUGGAUGAAAUGUUAUUAAGUAAUUUUCUUCACUUUUUUUCCCAUUGUUUCAGGUAAAGUUACCAUGUUGCAUGAACGGGAAAAGAUUUCUUGCUGUAAAUAGAUGCCGAAACCUAAUGAGAGUUCCCUUUCUACUGGUUUCUAAAAAGUUCCUAAGAGCGGUAGUGAAUAGAACGCAAUACCUUUGGCAAAAGGUUGUGGUGUUGUUUUUGCUGCUCCUCUGCAUUCCAAAAUAAGGAUAGAACUUAGUCAGAGUAAGUAAGGGCCUCCUUCCUAACAUGGGGUAAAUAAAAGUUUAUUAAUCCAUAGAAUGGAAUUCUGGACAGUAGCCAAGGUGUUGUUGCUCUCUUUUUGAGUUCUCAAGCAUUUGCUGAGGCCAUGUUGUUGAUUGCUUCAUGGUCCUUUUUCUCAGUAAUGAGCUAACAUGAGUUGAAAGUGGUUGAUUCAGUUAUCAAUAUGAUGUAUCUAUGUCUAUAAAGAUGUUGCUAUUUUAUCCGGUGUUCCAUGAACACACCAAGUAGUAUUCAGCUUUACUAAUGCCGUACCAUUUCUUAGCUAACCGGACAAGCAGCUUGCCGCUCUUUGAAGGGAAGUCUAAACUAGAUGGCUCUAGAGGUACUCUGCUUUUGUUAACGUUAAUGCGGCAUACUCAGAGGUCCUCCCCCAUACUCGCCGGAUGAACAGAUUUCUCUCGAAUCUCUUGAGGUAAGCCUUUGCGAUAACAUGAGAAAGCUGCUUACGUAUGAGUGGCUGCUCCAUCUUCGAAAUCUUCAAAGUAUCGAGGUCACUGAGUGCAAAGGAAUGGUGGAGUUGAUAAGCGGAGCGGGACAAGGCCAAGAAGGAAGCAUAACGANNNNNNNNNNNNNNNNNNNNNNNNNNNNNNNNNNNNNNNNNNNNNNNNNNNNNNNNNNNNNNNNNNNNNNNNNNNNNNNNNNNNNNNNNNNNNNNNNNNNNNNNNNNNNNNNNNNNNNNNNNNNNNNNNNNNNNNNNNNNNNNNNNNNNNNNNNNNNNNNNNNNNNNNNNNNNNNNNNNNNNNNNNNNNNNNNNNNNNNNNNGGAGCUUCCGUAUAAAACCUGUUCAUUCCCAUUUCCAGCAGCAGGCGAGUGCCCUUGUUUCUCUAGGAAUUGGGUUUCUGCCUUCAACGAGAGGAAGAGUCUUUGCUCGAUCCCUGGAUGCUGACUGGUGCUUCAGAUUCUCAAGAACAGCUUCUUAGCUCUACUUCUAUUUGUGCAUCUUUGCUACUUGCAUGCAUCUGAAUCUUCUUUUUCUGUCCUAACCGGUAUGUUGCUUCGUCCUCAUCUUUGCCAUUUUCCAUUUGUAAGAAUCAAAUAGAGACUCCAACUGAACAUCCUUAUUUGCCUGGAUCAAAUAUGUGCCCACUUAACAAGUAGAUCUGAUGGAUUCUAUGCGAAAUGAAGGGUUAAAUGACCUGAAUGUAGGUGGGUGGACUUAACUGUGAGAUGCAAUAAACUUCUCGAAGAGAGACCAAGAAAUAGAGAGAGAAGGGGCGAGAAGAGAAAGAGAGGAAGAGCGACAACGGUGGAUUGCAGCCCGUCGAAAGGGUCGUGCUACGCCACAAAUCUCCAUUUUCGAACACUAGACAAGGUUGUUCUAGCUCUAUUCCUCACGAACUUGGGAUUUUUGUUUGUAAAGUUAAUAUCCGGAUCUAUUUUGUAUUUUGCUUUGCUGGCAACGAUUCGGUCAAAAUCCAACGAUAUUUCGAUUCCCCACAUCUCCUUGUAAUUCUAGAAUUAAUUAUUUUAUAGAGAAUGUAGUCCGCAAUUCCCAAGUUGUCUUUGAGUUGAUCCGGUGCUUCUUGUGUCAAAAACAGGAGAUUAUUCUUGGGUCGUUGAAUAUAAUUUGCAGUUUGGCUCUCCUGCUUUAAUACUUGUGAUGCUGUUAUUUGCUUGNNNNNNNNNNNNNNNNNNNNNNNNNNNNNNNNNNNNNNNNNNNNNNNNNNNNNNNNNNNNNNNNNNNNNNNNNNNNNNNNNNNNNNNNNNNNNNNNNNNNAUGCUAUGCGCGCUGAGAAAUAUUCAAAUGAUCUCUACGUUAUAUGAUCAAGUGCACUUUCUUUGCCCGCAGGUUGAUAAUCAAGACGGCAAGAUGCCGCGACUUGAAGAUAUAGCCUGGAAAUUCGUGAUUAGACAGGGCAAGAAAUGGCGUUGUCCUUACUGCAAAAUUGAAUACUCUGGAUCAGUCACAAGAGUGAAAAGUCACUUUCUUAAACAACCAAAAGAAGGGAUUGUCUCUUGCACAAAAGUGCCGGAGCACAUAAGCACGCUAAUGGAAUUGUUACAGAGUCAG
rnacentral:lncRNA from 1 species